GGGUCUAAUCGGGCUAGUCCCUCUCAAACCAAACUAAAUGGGUGCUAAAUGGGCGGUCUAUAUUCACCCGUUUGCCCACCCAUACUCCCAAAACCAAAACCCGGCUCCAUCAAACCCUUCGCCUUCACUCUUCACCCUUCAGAAACGACUCGAUCUCAAAAAUCACGAUUUUCUCUCUUCAUCUCUAGCUCGACCUCGACCUCGACCUCUAGCUUCCGACCUCCUCCUCUCCCCUAGAGCUCGACCUCGACCUCCGGCCUCUAAUCUCCUCUCUCUCUCGAGCUCUACCUUUGAUCACCUCUCGCCUCUGAUCUUCUCUCCUUCUCGACCUAGAUCUCUUCUCCUGCCCUUCGAUCUCCUCUUAUCUUUGAUCCCCAAUCCUCAGAUCAAGAGAAGCUCCCAUGUGCGCUCAGCUGUCGUUGCAACCAUCCAUCUAAACCAUAUCAGUUUGCAUUAGGAUUAACUGAUGACAGUGUUCACAUGCUCGAGCCUUUAGAGUCAGAAGGCAAACGGAUGACUGAAUCUUCACUAGUAAAUCCUGCUUAUGAUCAUUCUUCAAAGCGAUGAUACUGAACACUAACUCUGCCAAGUGACACAGGAUGAAGGAAACGAGAUCUAUCCGAGUUUAACACCACAGAAAGAAUAGCUGACUUGCAAAAGGUACAGUGCUCCUAAACUCUAGGCACGGUUGUAGGGAAGAACGCUAAUUUGUUUCAGAUCAAGCAUAGCUCUCUGUAAAAUCAUGGAAGGGAGGAGAUCAGUCACUUUUUAAUGAUAGACGAUCUUUCCUUCUCCCACUUUUUUUUAAAAAAAACUUAUAUUCUACAGGAGGCACAGUUUUUACAUUGUAUACGCUUUGAGGCCUUAGAGAAAACUUUUUUUUAAAAUGCGUUUUUGUUGACAGGCAAGUACAGUUUCUUUGAAAAGAGAAUCAUGUUAUUGAUCUUAUACAGAUCCUUACGUA